rnacentral:rRNA from 1 species
AUUGAACGCUGGCGGCAGGCCUAACACAUGCAAGUCGAGCGGACGAAGGGAGCUUGCUCCUGGAUUCAGCGGCGGACGGGUGAGUAAUGCCUAGGAAUCUGCCUGGUAGUGGGGGAUAACGUCCGGAAACGGGCGCUAAUACCGCAUACGUCCUGAGGGAGAAAGUGGGGGAUCUUCGGACCUCACGCUAUCAGAUGAGCCUAGGUCGGAUUAGCUAGUUGGUGGGGUAAAGGCCUACCAAGGCGACGAUCCGUAACUGGUCUGAGAGGAUGAUCAGUCACACUGGAACUGGGACACGGUCCAGACUCCUACGGGAGGCAGCAGUGGGGAAUAUUGGGCAAUGGGCGAAAGCCUGAUCCAGCCAUGCCGCGUGUGUGAAGAAGGUCUUCGGAUUGUAAAGCACUUUAAGUUGUGAGGAAGGGCAGUAAGUUAAUACCUUGCUGUUUUGACGUUACCAACAGAAUAAGCACCGGCUAACUUCGUG